UGGAUCCAGACUUUGAUUCUGGCUCAGGACGAACGCUGGCGGCGUGCUUAACACAUGCAAGUCGAACGAGAAGAGAUGAGAAGCUUGCUUCUUAUUGAUUCGAGUGGCAAACGGGUGAGUAACGCGUAAGCAACCUGCCCUCUAGAUGGGGACAACAGCUGGAAACGGCUGCUAAUACCGAAUACGUUCUUUCUGUCGCAUGGCAGAGGGAAGAAAGGGAGGCUCUUCGGAGCUUUCGCUGGAGGAGGGGCUUGCGUCUGAUUAGCUAGUUGGAGGGGUAACGGCCCACCAAGGCGACGAUCAGUAGCCGGUCUGAGAGGAUGAACGGCCACAUUGGGACUGAGGCACGGCCCAGACUCCUACGGGAGGCAGCAGUGGGGAAUCUUCCGCAAUGGACGAAAGUCUGACGGAGCAACGCCGCGUGAACGAUGACGGCCUUCGGGUUGUAAAGUUCUGUUAUACGGGACGAAUGGUACGACGGUCAAUACCCGUCGUAAGUGACGGUACCGUAAGAGAAAGCCACGGCUAACUACGUGUCAGCAGCCGCGGUAAUACGUAGGUGGCAAGCGUUGUCCGGAAUUAUUGGGCGUAAAGGGCGCGCAGGCGGCGUCGUAAGUCGGUCUUAAAAGUGCGGGGCUUAACCCCGUGAGGGGACCGAAACUGCGAUGCUAGAGUAUCGGAGAGGAAAGCGGAAUUCCUAGUGUAGCGGUGAAAUGCGUAGAUAUUAGGAGGAACACCAGUGGCGAAAGCGGCUUUCUGGACGACAACUGACGCUGAGGCGCGAAAGCCAGGGGAGCAAACGGGAUUAGAUACCCCGGUAGUCCUGGCCGUAAACGAUGGAUACUAGGUGUAGGAGGUAUCGACCCCUUCUGUGCCGGAGUUAACGCAAUAAGUAUCCCGCCUGGGGAGUACGGCCGCAAGGCUGCAACUCAAAUGAAUUGACGGA
rnacentral:rRNA from 2 species